GGGCCUAUGGUCUAGUGGUACGACGCGACAUUCGCAUUGUCGAAACGGGAGUUCGAUUCUCCCUAGGUCCA
rnacentral:tRNA from 1 species